GGAGCCAUACGAUGGUAUCCCAAUCCACCCUUAGGAAAAGAAACCUGUCACAGGAGUCUUGGAGACUGGCGACCGUCCUAAUGAUUUA
rnacentral:pre_miRNA from 1 species